rnacentral:rRNA from 1 species
GACGAACGCUGGCGGCGUGCUUAACACAUGCAAGUCGAACGGAAAGGCCCUGCUUUUGUGGGGUGCUCGAGAGGCGAACGGGUGAGUAACACGUGAGUAACCUGCCCUUGACUUUGGGAUAACUUCAGGAAACUGGGGCUAAUACCGGAUAGGAGCUCCUGCUGCAUGGUGGGGGUUGGAAAGUUUCGGCGGUUGGGGAUGGACUCGCGGCUUAUCAGCUUGUUGGUGGGGUAGUGGCUUACCAAGGCUUUGACGGGUAGCCGGCCUGAGAGGGUGACCGGCCACAUUGGGACUGAGAGACGGCCCAGACUCCUACGGGAGGCAGCAGUGGGGAAUAUUGCACAAUGGGCGGAAGCCUGAUGCAGCAACGCCGCGUGCGGGAUGACGGCCUUCGGGUUGUAAACCGCUUUCGCCUGUGACGAAGCGUGAGUGACGGUAAUGGGUAAAGAAGCACCGGCUAACUACGUG